AACGAACGCUGGCGGCAGGCUUAACACAUGCAAGUCGAGCGAAGACUUCGGUCUUAGCGGCGGACGGGUGAGUAACGCGUGGGAACAUACCCUUUGCUACGGAACAGUCCCGGGAAACUGGGUUUAAUACCGUAUACGCCCUUCGGGGGAAAGAUUUAUCGGCAAAGGAUUGGCCCGCGUUGGAUUAGGUAGUUGGUGGGGUAAAGGCCUACCAAGCCGACGAUCCAUAGCUGGUCUGAGAGGACGAUCAGCCACACUGGGAUUGAGAUACGGCCCAGACGUUUUUUAGCGGCAGCAGUGAGGAAUCUUGGACAAUGGGCGAAAGCCUGAUCCAGCCAUAGGGCAUGACUGAUGAAGGCUGAAUUGGUCGUAAAGGUUGUAUCUGCAAGCAAGAUUAUGACACAAUUGCAGAGAUUAGUCCCGGCUAACUCCGUGCCAGCCGCCGCAGUAAUAC
rnacentral:rRNA from 1 species